GACGAACGCUGGCGGCGUGCUUAACACAUGCAAGUCGAGCGGUAAGGCCCUUCGGGUACGACGAGCGGCGAACGGGUGAGUAACACGUGGGUGACCUGCCUUUAGCUCUGGGAUAAGCCUGGGAAACUGGGUCUAAUACCGGAUAUGACCUCAUGACGCAUGUUGUGGGGUGGAAAGCCUUGUGCGGCUAGAGAUGGGCCCGCGGCCUAUCAGCUUGUUGGUGGGGUGAUGGCCUACCAAGGCGACGACGGGUAGCCGGCCUGAGAGGGCGACCGGCCACACUGGGACUGAGACACGGCCCAGACUCCUACGGGAGGCAGCAGUGGGGAAUCUUGCGCAAUGGGCGAAAGCCUGACGCAGCGACGCCGCGUGAGGGAUGACGGCCU
rnacentral:rRNA from 1 species